UAUAUUUCUACUUUCUAACCGUGUGAAGGAUGAAAAUUAACGGAAACUUUUCUCUAAUUUUGCGCCAUUAACAGUUGCUUUAUUCUUUAUAUAAAACCCCCCCCCAAAAAAAAGUCGAAAAUAAAAACCCUAGCUUCACAUCUCACUUAAACUUUCAAAGGGAUGUCGAGAAUCUGUUGAUCGAUCAUGAAUUCAGGGUUUUCUCAUCAACAUUGAUCUGUCUCAUAAGAGAGUUACAUAACGAUGUCAAGACCCAUGUUACUUGUUUUCCUGUUGCUUAUAGUCAUAAUUACCUCUCAGUUUGAGUGGAGGCAACAACUUGUUGUUGAUAUUGACAUGACCCCAAGUGUAACCCAGAAGCAGCAACAAAUUUCGAGGGAAGAAGCUGUGAAAGAAAAGAUCAUCUUAUCACAAGAGAAGAACAUUCAGCGACUUAAUGAACUUGUGCAAAGUCUUCAGCAGCAACUAUUGCAGUGCAAGGGCAAUAACAAGACAAAAAAUGGCAUUGUAAGCCAUUUAAAUUAACAUGUUAUUUGAGCUUGAGCAACAGCAAAUCUUGGAGGACUAGGCUAUGAUUACUCAAAACAUAUGUUUUGAUUGAUGUACAUUGAAGUUGUAAAAUCCUUGUUUAUCCAUAAAAUGUGCAUAGACUCAACUUUUGUGCUCUGAGUUGUAUUCCAGACAAGAUAAAGUUGCUUCAGUUUAAGGGCCUCAUAUUGUGUGUAAGAAUUGGAAGAGAAAUGUGAUUUGUUGGUUAUGUAGGUUUAGUACACAACUUAUUACACUGGAUUCUUUCUAGGCUCUUUGCCCGAGCAACAAAUGGGAAACAAAUAUGAUUGUUCAUCUGGUUGUUUAGUUCCAUUUUAUAUUUGUUUCGAGCAGGGAAGGGUAAGGUGAAUAUGCUUAUGAUGAUGUAAAUGGUGGUGUAAAAAGGACAGAAUAAUUCAAAUUCCACGUGGAGUGUCGUUGAGGAAGUAUUUUGAUUGGCAACUCUCCUGUACUGAGGAGCCUUUUAAAUAGAAAGAAAUUUAAGUGGCUGCCAGACACUAUUGAAUGGCACCAGACAAAGUUUGAGUACCUAACACUUUGUACGUUUUUUAUCGGAAUAUUGGAAGAGAUCUAUGGGAACAAUUUUUUCUUUUUGUCUGUCACACCCGAAUAUAUGGUUUUUUCGGAGUUUAACUUCAAUACAUGCUUAGCAGUAUACCUUUGAGAGAGGGUUGCAGGGGACGGUAUAGACAUGUACCCUUGUGGCCGGUUCACACCAACAAAAAUAGAAAUCCAAUACUGAAGAAAGCAAGGGUCCAAUGAACAAAUCCAUUUUUAAAACAUCUGCAUCUGUAACGACGAAGGUUUCAACUUUCAAAUGUAAGAAGGUUUGGGAAAUAAGCUGGAAAAACUUCUGUCCUCUUGAUAAAUGCAUAUCUCAGCCUGGGCCUAGCUUUUACUUGGUGCAUGAAUUCAAAUUGACAAGAGAAUUGAAGAGGUUUCAAUGAAAUUUGUUUCAAUCAUUAAACCCAUAAAUUAAGAUUGGUUAGUGGUUUUGAUAAAAUUAAAUUGAAUAAAGUUGUGAAAGUCACAAAUUUACAAUGUUUUUAUUGCAUUAGGUCAUAUACAUUGUCUUGCACAAGCAUUUCUUUAUAUAUAAAACUUUUCUGCAUCAAAGGAACCAGCACCCACUUUUAGUUGUCGUGAUUUAUUUAGCCAACUACAAGGUUCAAGCAGACUGCUACUCAAAUAUAAGUUGGCUGCAUAAAUCAAGAAAGCAAUAUGCCUGUCUACAUUUUACGAAGCUCGAAUCUGAAACCUCCAAAUUAAAAGUCUUAAGUUCUAAUCGU